UCUGUUAGAAGAAGAAGCAAUUAGCCUUUUGAAUAUGGUGAAAACAAUUUUUUCUGGACAACCACUUCCUACCAAACUGAUGCUUAAGAACAUUUGUAUUUGUCUCGCUCCUGAUGCUAACCUCAUUAGAGAUGUCAGUGUGAAGUACAAGACUGAAACAAACUCUGUGAUUCAGCUAUAUUUUCAAAUUGAGCGGGCAGUGGGAUUGAGUCCACCAGAUUGAGAGCAUUAAUAGAUCUUUUUGAUGAAAUUAUAGACGAACCAUUUUACGAUCAACUAAGGACGAAGGAGCAGCUGGGAUAUGUUGUUCAGUGUGACUGGGAGGUGAUAUUUGGUGUUUUUGGCUUUUAUUUCAUAGUUCAAUCGUCGGAGUACAACCCAAUGUACUUGCAGCGGAGAGUUGACAACAUUAUCA